UUGGGGUUUCCAGCCAUGAAAAUGGUGAGGAAUCAAAAGGGAACCAGGUGCAACUCCUGGACAGUACCCGCUGCUGUAACUCCUCGCGACACAUCGCGCGGCAUCAUGCCACUGGUUGCAAACGCUACAAUGUCUGCAUCAUCACCGGGAAGGCGCCGACGUCGAUGGGGGAGAAGUCAGAAGACCUGCCUCCA
rnacentral:ncRNA from 1 species